AUACUUACCUGGCAGGGGAGACACCAUGAUCACGUAGGUGGUUUUCCCAGGGUAAGGCUCAUCCAUUGCACUCCAUAGCAUUUUAAUGAAAUGUGGGAUGAAGCAAAUAGAAAUAAAUGGGAAAAUGUAAAAGGGCAUC
rnacentral:snRNA from 1 species